rnacentral:lncRNA from 1 species
AUAAAAGCAGGCUGCCUGAGCCACCAGUGGCAACCCUCUGGGGUCCCCUUGCACGCUGUGGAAGCUUUAUUGUUUCACUCUUUGCAAUAAAUCUUGCUGCUGCUCACUCUUUGGGUCCACACUGCCUUUAUGAGCUGUAACACUCACGAUGAAGUUCUGCAGCUUCACUCCUGAAGCCAGCGACACCACAAACCCACCAGGAGGAAGGAACAACUCCAGAUGCACCUCCUUAAGAGCUGUGACACUCACCGCGAAGGUCCGCAGCUUCACUCCUGAGCCGGCGAGACCACGAACCCCACCAGAAGGAAGAAACUCUGAACACCUCCGAACAUCAGAAGGAACAAACUCUGGACACGCUGCCUUUAGGAACUGUAACACUCACCGCGAGGGUCCCCGGCUUCAUUCUUGAAGUCAGUGAGACCAAAAUCCCACCAAUUCUGGACACACUAGGAAGACUGAGACCCAAUUGGACCAUCAAAGAACGACCCAAUCACCAGCACAAAGCUAAUAAACUUGUAAGCUUUCAAUACAAAUAACGUUGGAACAUAGCUAGGAAGACUUCAGGAGACAGAUUCUCUUUGCAGAGUCUCUGGGAGCCUUUCUCUCUACCAUGUGGAUGCCUGCAGAAGCCUGCACAGUCAUUCUGCCACAUGCACUGUGGAUACACAGCUGAUUUACAGCUGGGCUGAAAAAGCCUCAUCUCUGUUUCUGGGGAUUCCAGGAUAUCCUGUUUUUGACUCUUAGCUAAGACGGAAAAAGUGAUGCUCACGCCAGAGAAGAGUCAGCCCAAGGUCAUCUAGGAUCAGUGGCACACCUAGGAUUCAGGCCCAAGGACCCCCAGCUGACCUGCCUUCCCUGGAACCUCACUGUGAGUUCUUUAACCAUGGCUGUGUUUUCAAAGUUGAACUGGGGCUGCUGUUGAUACCACCUUUAAAUGCCUGCUUUUGUCAUGGAGACCAUGAGAACUUCACUCUUCAGCUGGCAAUUUACCUGGCUGCACAGUGCUCAGGCACACACAGGCUUCAGGGCUACAAGGUAAAGGAUUUGCCAAGGCCAAGUGCUGAAACCCACUUCUUGUUUUGAAGCAAAUGAGAACUUCCACCUGUAUUUGACCUGGGUCAUGAUCUGGUACUUUUUUACAGCAAACUCAUACUUAACAAAUUUUAAAGAUUUUUUAAAGAAUGAACUAAUGAAUUGGGUUAGUAAGGGUGGUUGCCUUGUCUUGCUCAUUGCAAGAAUGAAAGCUGUAUAAGUUGAAUGAAAAUAUAAAUAUGACUUUGAAGGUGGGUAAGUCUUACCUUCCCUUCUAGCAGUCUCUGAAGUUGCUUGAACAAUGGCUUAUUUUAUUAUUAGUUGGGACUCUUUGGUUGCAAGUAAUGGAAGUAUACUUGAACUAGAUUAGCAAAAAUGUAAGGCUUGUUAUAACAUUGCACAAGCACAGAACUCGCUGCUGGCUGGUAAGAUAUAGGACUACUGCAUUAUGGGGAUUUUUGAAUUCUAAUCUACUAGAGGGACCAUUGUUUUAAAAGUUCUUUAGAAGUUAUUCUUGGAACUACUAUUUAUACACGAAAGAAUGUGGAUGGAUCUCAAAAGCAUUAUGGCAAAAGACAGAAACAAAAGGCUACAUAUUGUUUCAUUCCAUUCACCUAACAUUUUAAAAAGCACAAAACUAUAGCAGUAAAAAUGAAUCAGUGGUCCCCAGAGACUAGGGGUAAAGGAGCAACUAUAAAAAGGAGACUUUUGGGAUAAUGGAACUAUUUUAAAUAUUGACUAUGGUUGUGGUCACAAGACUGCAAAACUGUAUACAGUUAUUAAUAUUUAUAGAACAAUACACUUCAAAAUGGGGGAUUUUAUUGAAUGCAAAUUAUACCUCAAUAAACCUGAUUGCUUUUUAAAAUAUAUAUAUAUAUAUAAAUAUGAAAUAGAUUAUUUUUAGUAAGUGACUAGAAAAAGGGCAAGCAAAAUAAUCGGUAACUUAGUAGGCAGCAAAUUAUUGUUCAUUUAUUUAACUCAGGUUUUAGAAAGUCCAUUGUGAAGCUAGUAAAAGAUUGUGAUUUGAAUUAUUUCUCAAAUUAUAGAUGAUUUUUAAUGAAGACAACAGAUAUACCUAAUAAAUUAUUUUUAAUUGAUCCAUGGAUACUAUCUUAUCUUUAUUCACACUUAGAUAUAAGAAAACACUAAAGAUAGACUUAGCAUGUUUCUAAAAUUAAUUUCUCUAAUUUGCAACACAGCACAUAAUAGUCAUGAUAAUUAAGCCAACUGAUAUCAUAAUUUAUGAUUACUUCUUGUCAGAAACUGUGAUAUUAUUUCCAUUGAGUAGGAAGUGGGGAGUGGGGCAAUUAAACUUAGUGCUAGAAUUAUUCUCCUUUUAAGCAUAAUUCAUCAAAAUCAAGAGUGAGCUUCAAAAUGACCAGUAAUAAAAGUAGGAAGAGAGAUGAUUUUCUAUAAAGUGCAAUUUAUGGAUUCUGGAUUCACAGAGAAAAUAAACACAUAGUGAAUUAGGUAAAAAUAAAAGAGGUAAAAUAUCCUGCAUGUAUUCUAUUAACAAGAUCAAAAGAAAACAAAAUUUACAUUACCGUAGAGAUCUUUAUAGCACCCCGUUUGUUAAAUUGAUAUUGUUGUGUUAAAAAAUUGACACAGACAUAUUAAUGGCUACAAAGAAAGAAAUAAAGAACUCCUUCUCACUUUUAAAUAGAUUCUGGAUUCUAGAGGAUAGUCCACACUUUCUUGUGCAAUUGUUUAAAUGUUGAAAUUGCUGACAUUAAGUGUGUAUGCAUUUACAUGUUGAAAUGCCACACAAAGGGUUUAUUAAUUUACUCUUUUUAUAAGCAAUGUAAGUCCUUGGUCUCUACAGUCUUAUCAAUAUCAAGUAUUUUGUACAUUACUGAUUUUGCCAAUUUAGUAUAUGAAGAAAAAGCCCACAAUAUAAUCUUUAUUUUGUUCAGUGGUAAGCAAAGUUAAACAUAUGUUUUUUAAAAGUCCCAUUUUGCGUCUUGAUUUCAAAUCAUCUGGUCAUAUUCCCAAAUAUUUAUAUGUUGCAUUCUUUGAUUUUUAUUCAUUUAUGGAAAAGUUUCGGGGAUAAAGAAGGAUUAGUAUUUUCUGUGUUCCACAUGGCUGUUCUAGACCAUUGAAACUCCUGUCCACAUAGUGUCUUAUUUUUUUUAAUAGUUUCACAUAGAAAGUAUGUUAAUAUACAUGAUCUUUUAAUUAUUUCCACAUAAAAGGUAUUUAGAAUUUAUCAUUAUUAUCAUCAUUUCAACUUUAGACUUAAAUAAACUGAACCUCAAAGUGGUCAAUGACUUGACCGAGUCCCAAGUAGAAAUGAAGCUGAUUUUCUGGCUUCUUUCGUAUUUUUUCAAACUACAUAUAUUCAUUACAUUUAUUUUACUAACAAAGUAUUGCUUUAUCCUUUCUUAUGAACCAGCAUUUUUAUUGUUUUUUUAAUUAAAUUUAUUCUUAUUAAUAAAAAAACAAGUCAAUUCCUUGGAAAUUUUUGCCGAAACCUGUUUUACAUUUCAAUAUCUCCAUAAUUGGCCAUAGGCUUUAAUGACAUUGAACUCCUUCUUUCUCUGUUGCUUCAGGCUUGUCCAUAGAAGUAAAUAUUCGCAUGAUUUUAACUUUCCAAACUGGCCCGAAAUAAUUUGUCUUAACUAUUGUCAAAUUAUUACCCACUUUGUAAAGCUGUGUUCAGUUUCUUCUCCUCAAUGAAAACGUUCAUGGUCAUAUAAAAAUAUGAUUACAAUUUUUCUCACUCUCUGAGUUACCUUGUAUUUUAUAAUAUUUUCAUGUAAGAAAAUGAGCUGUCCAUUUUAAAUGUCCAUCAUAAUUCUUCAAAUAAUGUUUAUAAAAUUAUACUCACUGGCUAGUAAUAUGCAGUUUGGCAACAGAAUGAGACUAUAUACAAAUUAAUAAAGUCAGUUGUUGGUCACAGUUAACAAUAAUUUUUCAUAAGCUUGGAGUUGAGGAAAUUCAAAGGCACUCAGUAUUUUUUUAAAUUAAGAAUUGCAAGAAGAAAGAGACAGAAAAUGAGUAUGUUAUUCAAAAUGAAAAGAUCAAUGCAAUCAUCCAAACCCAGUUAAGACUGUGUAACAGUGCAAAACAAGGUGUUUCUAAUAUUUCUAGAAUAUCACUGUCUUUCCCUUAUAGUAGGCUCAAGAUUUCUUUAAAUGACGUAGGGAAAGUAACUUUCCAUCGGCAAGACAGAAAAUAGCUAUUGGGAGAUUAGGGUAGGAGACGGAAGGAAAGCAAAGGGAAGGGAAGGGGAGGGGAGGGGAGGGAAGGGGAGGGGAAGGAGAAUGGCAGGAAAGAACAAGAAAAGGAGGGAGAAAGAACUAAGAAAGGAAGAGAGGAAGGGAGGGGAGGAGAGAGAGAGGAAAAGAGGAUGAAAAAUGAGAGGUGGAAUAACAGCUAGACAGGAAAGGAGAAUGAGAAAAGUAAGACGCAAACAGGGAGAGCAAAAAUUAAAGUAACCUAGAUGUGGCAGUCAAGAGAUUGUGAAAGAUGUGUAUACAAAAGAGGGGCCAUACCACAGCAGUAACUUGACCACAGCAGUAACUCAAUGCAUGAUUUGUGUUCCUGUAUCUUUUAAUGGCACAAGUCCUGGGACCUUUGAUGAGGCUCUGUCUAAUCAUAGAAGGACUCUGCCACCAGAAUAACCUAGUUUGCAUAAACUUUCCUCGUGUUUUCUUUCACUCCGCUAUCCAGACUGUAGGGUGUGCCUUACAUUAUUUAGCUGAAUUGUCAACAGGUGUACUGAGUAAACUGUUUGAUUUAUAAAUAUCUCUGUAUCUAAUCAUGUAUCAAUUUCUCAAAUUAUGGUGUUUCACAUAUUGGUUUCUCUAAAGAUUAUUUCAUUUCACAAUUUGAGGCAGUUUUGUGAAAAGAAACAUAUACAUAUAUUUUAAUUUCUGCCUGAAAUAUACAACAUUGAAUUUCAUUCAAAUAUUUAAUGCCUUCACAAAUAAAACGUAGCUAGUGUUUCAUGUUGCUGUUUAGAAGUUUAUUGAAAUAUGGCAGAUAAAAUGCUAUAGAGAUAUUAUUAUGUUUAAUAAUUCAGUAGUUGCUUCAAAUAUGCUAUAAAGUGUUGGAAUAUGGCCAGUUAACUUUAAAAUAUAGAAUAAUAAAAUAAUUGGAUUUAAAAUUGCUUCAUAUUAUUUUUGUUUAAUAAAAAGACAAUCCAUGUCUUAGGUGUACCCUUUUAAAUCCUAUCUACUUUCUGAUUCUUAGGAUUCUUAAAAAGAAUAUUGUAAUGACUGAACAGAAAUAUUAUAUCUGAUUUUGUACUAGAAAAUUGAAGCAGCAUGGGAUCAUGGCUAAGUAAGAGCUUUAUAGCAGUAGCAAAUAGUUACAUGAUUACUGAAGUAUAGCUGUCACUGGAAAUAGAAAGCUGCAAGGAACCUAUCAUAAAAGUAGCAAUUUCAGUUUCACUAGUGUUUAAAAUUAAAGCCUAGUAAUUCAUUGUGGAUGUAUUUCCUCAAUGGUUUCAGGAAAGUAUCCUGCUUUCACUGAGCAUUUUCACUUUGUUCCUUAUGUGUUUCCUUUCAUAAUGAAAAAGUUGUAAUUUCAGAUUGGUAAAACAAUUGUUAGGACUUUGUGAACAAACACUCAAAAAGUUUUGUGUCAUGAAAUAAUGAUUAGUCAAUUGUAUUUAUUGUUAUAACACACUAUGUUAAAAAUUCACUGCCAGAUGAUCCACAUUAUGUUAGGUAAACCAAUUUAAUCAACAGUUUCCUCUUUUGACAUAUAAUUAGCUGAUGGAUGAAUUUAGAGGUGUAAAAAACCUUCAAAUAAAAGCGUUUAUGGAAAAAAAUAAUGGCUGUUUAUGGAGUUUUGCAUACAUGUGUUACUGUCUUAAGAAGCUGAAAUGAGAUUUAAG